AUUGAACGCUGGCGGCAGGCCUAUCACAUGCAAGUCGAGCGAGCGGCGGACGGGUGAGUAAUGUAUGGGGACUGCCCGAUAGAGGGGGAUAACUACUGGAAACGGUAGCUAAUACCGCAUACUAUCGGAUAACCCAUAUGGGAUUAGCUAGUAGGUGAGGUAAUGGCUGCCCUAGGCGACGAUCCCUAGCUGGUCUGAGAGGAUGAUCAGCCAGUCUGGGACUGAGACCCGCCCCAGACUCCGACGGAGGCAGCAGUCGGGAAUAUUGCACAAUGGGUGCAACCCUCACGCAGCCAUGCCGCGUGUCUGACGAAGGCCCUAGGGUUGUAAAGUACUUUCAGUCGGGAGGCGGUACCGACAGAAGAAGCUCCGGCUAACUCCGUGACAGCAGCCGCGGUAAUAC
rnacentral:rRNA from 1 species